rnacentral:rRNA from 1 species
AUUGAACGCUGGCGGAAUGCUUUACACAUGCAAGUCGAACGGCAGCACGGGGCAACCUGGUGGCGAGUGGCGAACGGGUGAGUAAUACAUCGGAACGUGCCCAAUCGUGGGGGAUAACGUAGCGAAAGUUACGCUAAUACCGCAUACGAUCUACGGAUGAAAGCGGGGGAUCGUAAGACCUCGCGCGAAUGGAGCGGCCGAUGUCAGAUUAGGUAGGUGGUGGGGGAAAGGCUCACCAAGCCGACGAUCUGUAGCUGGUCUGAGAGGACGACCAGCCACACUGGGACUGAGGCACGGCCCAGACUCCUACGGGAGGCAGCAGUGGGGAAUUUUGGACAAUGGGCGCAAGCCUGAUCCAGCCAUUCCGCGUGCAGGAUGAAGGCCUUCGGGUUGUAAACUGCUUUUGUACGGAACGAAACGGUUCUCUCUAAUACAGGGGGCUAAUGACGGUACCGUAAGAAUAAGCACCGGCUAACUACGUGCCAGCCGCCGCGGUAAUAC